AGCGAACGCUGGCGGCAGGCCUAACACAUGCAAGUCGAACGAACUCUUCGGAGUUAGUGGCGGAAGGGUGAGUAACACGUGGGAACGUGCCUUUUGGUUCGGAAUAACUCAGUGAAACUUGUGCUAAUACCGAAUGUGCCCUUCGGGGGAAAGAUUUAUCGCCAUUAGAGCGGCCCGCGUCUGAUUCGCUAGUUGGUGAGGUAACGGCUCACCAAGGCGACGAUCAGUAGCUGGUCUGAGAGGAUGACCAGCCACACUGGGACUGAGACACGGCCCAGACUCCUACGGGAGGCAGCAGUGGGGAAUCUUGCGCAAUGGGCGAAAGCCUGACGCAGCCAUGCCGCGUGAAUGAUGAAGGUCUUAGGAUUGUAAAAUUCUUUCACCGGGGACGAUAAUGACGGUACCCGGAGAAGAAGCCCCGGCUAACUUCGUG
rnacentral:rRNA from 1 species